rnacentral:rRNA from 1 species
GAUGAACGCUAGCGGCAGGCCUAAUACAUGCAAGUCGAACGGUAAAUAUUUCAGCAAUGGGAUAUGAGAGUGACGUACGGGUGCGUAACACGUAUGCAACCUACCCGCAACUGGGGUAUAGCUCGGUGAAAACCGGAUUAACCCCCCAUAAGACCACGUGAGGGCAUCUGAGCGUGGUAAAAACUGAGGUGGUUGCGGAUGGGCAUGCGGAUGAUUAGUUAGUUGGCGGUGUAACGGACCACCAAGACGAUGAUCAUUAGGGGAACUGAGAGGUUGAUCCCCCACACUGGCACUGAGAUACGGGCCAGACUCCUACGGGAGGCAGCAGUAGGGAAUAUUGGUCAAUGGGUGAGAGCCUGAACCAGCCAUGCCGCGUGUAGGAAGACGGCCUUAUGGGUUGUAAACUGCUUUAGCCAGGGGCUAAAAAGACCGUGCGCGGUAAAUUGAAAGUACCUGGAGAAUAAGCCACGGCUAACUACGUGCCAGCCGCCGCCGUAA